UCGAGCGGAACAGAUAAGGAGCUUGCUCCUUUGACGUUAGCGGCGGACGGGUGAGUAACACGUGGAUAACCUACCUAUAAGACUGGGAUAACUUCGGGAAACCGGAGCUAAUACCGGAUAAGAUUUUGAACCGCAUGGUUCAAUAGUGAAAGACGGCCUUGCUGUCACUUAUAGAUGGAUCCGCGCCGUAUUAGCUAGUUGGUAAGGUAACGGCUUACCAAGGCAACGAUACGUAGCCGACCUGAGAGGGUGAUCGGCCACACUGGAACUGAGACACGGUCCAGACUCCUACGGGAGGCAGCAGUAGGGAAUCUUCCGCAAUGGGCGAAAGCCUGACGGAGCAACGCCGCGUGAGUGAUGAAGGUCUUCGGAUCGUAAAACUCUGUUAUCAGGGAAGAACAAACGUGUAAGUAACUGUGCACGUCUUGACGGUACCUGAUCAGAAAGCCACGGCUAACUACGUGCCAGCAGCCGCGGUAAUACGUAGGUGGCAAGCGUUAUCCGGAAUUAUUGGGCGUAAAGCGCGCGUAGGCGGUUUUUUAAGUCUGAUGUGAAAGCCCACGGCUCAACCGUGGAGGGUCAUUGGAAACUGGAAAACUUGAGUGCAGAAGAGGAAAGUGGAAUUCCAUGUGUAGCGGUGAAAUGCGCAGAGAUAUGGAGGAACACCAGGGCGAAGGCGACUUUCUGGUCUGUAACUGACGCUGAUGUGCGAAAGCGUGGGGAUCAAACAGGAUUAGAUACCCUGGUAGUCCACGCCGUAAACGAUGAGUGCUAAGUGUUAGGGGGUUUCCGCCCCUUAGUGCUGCAGCUAACGCAUUAAGCACUCCGCCUGGGGAGUACACCGCAAGGUUGAAACUCAAAGGAAAUUGACGGGGG
rnacentral:rRNA from 1 species